rnacentral:rRNA from 1 species
GAGGAAUAUUGCGCAAUGGGGGCAACCCUGACGCAGCGACGCCGCGUGGAUGAUGAAGGCCUUCGGGUCGUAAAAUCCUGUCGGAUGGAAAGAAGUGCAUGCAUGCUAAUACCAUGUGUGUUUGACGGUACCAUCAAAGGAAGCACCGGCUAACUCCGUGCCAGCAGCCGCGGUAAUACGGAGGGUGCAAGCGUUGUUCGGAAUUAUUGGGCGUAAAGCGCGUGUAGGCGGUUUCUUAAGUCUGAUGUGAAAGCCCCGGGCUCAACCUGGGAAGUGCAUUGGAAACUGGGGACUUGAGUACGGGAGAGGGUAGUGGAAUUCCUAGUGUAGGAGUGAAAUCCGUAGAUAUUAGGAGGAACACCGGUGGCGAAGGCGGCUACCUGGACCGAUACUGACGCUGAGACGCGAAAGCGUGGGGAGCAAAC